UUCUUGCCCUCUGGGUAGAUCUCCACCCUUGUGUAUAUAAUCAUGUUGCUUCGGCGGGCAAACCCAGGUUUCCCGCCAAAGGUUAACUCUAAAUAUUGUAUUGUCUGAGUCUUUGUAAUAAUUAAAACUUUCAACAACGGAUCUCUUGGUUCUGGCAUCGAUGAAGAACGCAGCGAAAUGCGAUAAGUAAUGUGAAUUGCAGAAUUCAGUGAAUCAUCGAAUCUUUGAACGCACAUUGCGCCCCUUGGCAUUCCGGGGGGCAUGCCUGUUCGAGCGUCAUUAGUACCAAUCUAGCCCAGCUAGGUCUUGAGUUCGCGAUUGCGGGCUUUAAAAUUAGUGGCAAAGCCUCUGGCUCUAUGCGUAGUAAUUAUUAUCGCUACAGACGUCAAAGGUGGUAUGCCAACAACCUCAUUUCUUAGGUUGACCUCGGAUCAGGUAGGGAUACCCGCUGAACUUAAGCAUAUCAAUAA
rnacentral:sRNA from 1 species